AUUGAUCUCUCCUUCUCCUCCUCCUACCAUCCACAGACCAAUGGUACAGCUGAGAGGGCUAACCAGUCAUUAGAAGUUUAUUUGCGUUGUUUUAUUAAUAACACACAAGACAAUUGGUCCGAACUACUCCCGUGGGCCGAGUUCGCUAGAAACAAUGCUGUUCAUGACUCCUCUGGGCACAGUCCAUUUUUUGUCAAUAAUGGUAGGCAUCCUACGGUUC